UCGAAACCUGCCCAGCAGAACGACCAGCGAACAUGUUUAUACCAUGCAUGGGGAGGUGUUGAUGGCUUGCCUCGACCUUCCCCAUCGCUAGGGCUGUCCUAUGUGAUUGCCCUGGCACAAUAACGAACCCCGGCGUGUCAUGCGCCAAGGAACAUGAACAUGAGUUUUGCCCAUCCACUGCCCGGGUCUCCGGUGCAUGGACGUGGCACCAAACUAAGUAAUAAAACGA
rnacentral:misc_RNA from 1 species